rnacentral:rRNA from 1 species
UACGGGGGGAGCAAGCGUUGUUCGGAUUUACUGGGCGUAAAGGGCGCGUAGGCGGCCACCGCAAGUCGGUUGUGAAAUCUCCGGGCUUAACCCGGAAAGGUCAAUCGAUACUGCGGGGCUAGAGUGCAGAAGGGGCAACUGGAAUUCUCGGUGUAGCGGUGAAAUGCGUAGAUAUCGAGAGGAACACCUGCGGCGAAGGCGGGUUGCUGGGCUGACACGUGACGCUGGAGGAGCGAAAGCGUGGGGAGCAAACAGG